UCAGGUGUUACUUCUAAGAGAGCCUGGCUGAACAUAAAUUAUGGAGCAGAUUCUCUGCUGCUAAACCCCAAAGUCAGCAGAGACUUCGUCAGCCUUCAGCAGCGAAUCCUGUUUGGCUGAGGUGACCUGAGCAGAAUCAAUAUCCUUCCUUAAAAAUAAAAAAAAGGAACAGAAGAGAGAACGGAGUGAAUCAAGAUGUUGUCAGCCGAUGCCUGUUUCGGGGUGAUAUUUAUGUCCUGCAAAACCACUGGUGCCAAUUGCCACGGCCCCAUUGACUUGGGCGGGACUUGUGCUGAUUUUAAGUCUGACUAGUACCAAGGAGAGCCCGAAGCCACAGCUUGCCCUACCAACUAACAUCAAGAUGAUGAGUCCACGCUUGCUCACAUCACCACUGCUGCCACAGGCACAAUUUUCCCUGGACAGCUUUGGCCAUGAGAAACCUACAUGUUCUGAUGCAAAAUAGCAGAAAGCAGAAGUGCAACAAUCUACAGCUUCCUCAUCGCUUGACGGAGUAUGGACAAAGCUGCUUGGCUUGCGUGUCCUAAUGCCUCUCCAAACUGGGCUCUGGAUCACUGCUGCUGCACAGAUAUCAAACUGCAAUUGUAAUAAACUUUAUUUAACACCAGAUUUUUUAGACUGAGAUUUCCCCCCCUGCCCAGAAAGAUCUGGGUGAUAUAACCAGACCUGCAUUG